rnacentral:rRNA from 1 species
GACAGAGGAUGCAAGCGUUAUCCGGAAUGAUUGGGCGUAAAGCGUCUGUAGGUGGCUUCUUAAGUCCGCUGUCAAAUCCCAGGGCUUAACCCUGGCCAGGCGGUGGAGACUACUAAGCUUGAGUACGGUAGGGGCAGAGGGAAUUUCCGGUGGAGCGGUGAAAUGCGUAGAGAUCGGAAAGAACACCAACGGCGAAAGCAACUCUGCUGGGCCGACACUGACACUGAGAGACGAAAGCUAGGGGAGCGAAUGGG